rnacentral:rRNA from 1 species
AGCAACCUGCCCUGGACUCUGGGAUAAGCGCUGGAAACGGCGUCUAAUACUGGAUAUGAGACGUGAUCGCAUGGUCGUGUUUGGAAAGAUUUUUCGGUCUGGGAUGGGCUCGCGGCCUAUCAGCUUGUUGGUGAGGUAAUGGCUCACCAAGGCGUCGACGGGUAGCCGGCCUGAGAGGGUGACCGGCCACACUGGGACUGAGACACGGCCCAGACUCCUACGGGAGGCAGCAGUGGGGAAUAUUGCACAAUGGGCGGAAGCCUGAUGCAGCAACGCCGCGUGAGGGAUGACGGCCUUCGGGUUGUAAACCUCUUUUAGCAGGGAAGAAGCGAAAGUGACGGUACCUGCAGAAAAAGCGCCGGCUAACUACGUGCCAGCAGCCGCGGUAAUACGUAGGGCGCAAGCGUUAUCCGGAAUUAUUGGGCGUAAAGAGCUCGUAGGCGGUUUGUCGCGUCUGCUGUGAAAUCCCGAGGCUCAACCUCGGGCCUGCAGUGGGUACGGGCAGACUAGAGUGCGGUAGGGGAGAUUGGAAUUCCUGGUGUAGCGGUGGAAUGCGCAGAUAUCAGGAGGAACACCGAUGG